AUUAGAAUGGCAGAUCAGUGCAUAGGAUUUAAGCUUCUAUUAGGUAAUAUUUAAAUAUUUCUUCUAAUA
rnacentral:tRNA from 1 species